rnacentral:tRNA from 1 species
GCAGUGGUGAUUCAGUGAUAGAAUUCUCACCUUCCACGGGAGAGACCCAGGCUCAAUUCCUAGUCAAUGUG